CCCAUGGGAGCUCAGGUGUAUGCAAUGUAGCUGAGUGACCAUAAGGGAUAGAGUCAGGAUCCACCCCUUCCUAGAUCUCAUUGAAUGGCUGGCAAUGGAGGUGAGGGUGCCCCAUGCAGAGCUCCCUGUGUACCUGAGGACUUUAUAGGCUUUCUGAAGGCUUCCCCUUUCAUCACAACUAAUGAAACUCUCAUACUGAAUCACCAACCCACUCAUGGGAAGUUGGAUGUACCUCACACUGGAGAACAGCUGAGAUACAGUGAAAUGGGAUGCAUUCUGUGCCAGCUGAAUACGUUGCCUUAUCAGCACUCAUAGCCCCCACCAGCUUGAGGGUGAAGGACUGAACCCAACUUGGUGAUUCAUUUCAGUACAGCUGAGCCACCAGCUCUGAUCCCACAUUGUGGAAUCCAAUGCACAAGUUUAACGCACACACCAGUGGACCAAAGCUUGAUGGAGUGCAGAGGGCUGGCUGAACUGAUCCUAAGGAUGUCUCAAGUCCAGAGAGGCGUCCUACAGGAUAUUGUGGAUGAACUCCCACUCAACUAUUGUAGAGAAUGCAAUGAAAUGCUCAGUUGCAACACUGCAUAAUAUCUGCAGGUAAAACCAGUCUCUGCAAGGACUCUUUGAACCAAAAUCAAUGAGUUACAGAAGUUCUUAUGAAAUAGCAAGUGUUACCUGUUGAAGCCACUCGGUGCAGGUAAGGCCUAAGGCAAUGACAGUAACAGAGAAGAAGGAACAAACCAGUACAUAAGGAGUUGAUAAUCAGUAGUCAGUGGCCAUUACACUGUAAAUAGAUUGAGAAGUUGGUCAUCAAUAUCUCUAAUUACAACCAAUCACGACUGUUGUCAUGAUUAAAUAACAGCAAAUGACAUUGUAUCUCUAAACAGGAGAGAGCUGUUUCUUUACAGUAGUCAAAAUUAUAACUAAACACUCACACAAAACAGCUACUGUGUGCUGAGAACUGAUUUCUCUCAAUUAUGCAGAGAAACAAUGAGCGCUCAGCAGCUUCCAGAAUCCAGCCUAAAACACAGCAUGCACAGAAUCUAUAUCAGAAACAAAAGCUCAAACAGGGCAAAAGAGUUAAAACAAAGGGAGUUGUGUUGUGAUCAUCAGCUUUACCCCAAAGAGCUUCUUUUCUCUUUAGGUCUAUUCUAGCUCCUCGCAUAGAAAUUCCACUGACCCCACUAAAAAUUCAUUUGAGCCUUGAGUCAGAUUUGUUCACUUUCUCAAACUGAUGUUAUGCAGUGAUAUCCUGUCCUUAAAUCCAUAAAUUAAGCAUAUGACAAAUUAUUUCUUCGUAUGGAUUAAGUCCCCACAUCAACCACAAAUGACUUAACAAAUGCACUGUUAACUACACUUGUAAGUUUUUCCCUUCUGCCUUCAGACACCUUUUGAUAGUAAGAGAAUUGUCCCUUCCAAAAAUACUUACUUAACUAGAAGAUAGAUGCUCACUAAUAGAGAUAGAAGUGUUAAUCCCACAUGUAUCCGUAUUACUAAGAAACAGGAAGAGCCCAAAUAUAUCAAUAUUACUUCCAAGGACUUAUCAAAAACCAUGGAUUAAAGAAGCUUAUUUUCUUGGGGAUGAUUUCUUUGUGCAGUGAUAUCUGACAUCAAUAUAAGGCCAUCAAAACUGCCUUAGUAUGCUGCAAAGUGCCUACAGUACUGCACCAAUUACAUGUCUUGCAGUCAGCAAACUCCUCUGCACCUCAAGUAUCCUUGUUAGUCACUGUGUAAAAUGUAAAGAGCACAGAUCAACAAGCAGGCUCAAACAGCACUUUAAAAGAUAGGGGAAAAAAAAGGGGGGGGGAAGGAAGAAAGGAGCCUAUAUGAGCCUAUAUGACUAUAGCAUCAGUGGCAGGGUGAUCUGAUCCCUCUGCAUGUGGUAGAAUGAAAUCUGCAGAAGAAGCAAAUCCCUUCUCGAAACUCUCAUCUAUCUUGAAGACAUGAAUACUAAUCAUUGUUAAUGUAAAUGCUGUCAAGCACCCAACCAUUAUUUAGAAAAAGAUGUAUUUCUUUAAGAAGCACCUUCCCCAGGUCUUCCAGCACAGUUUGUGCUGUCUGUCUAUUGUUAGAUUGCACACUCCCAGGGCCAGGAAGCAUCAUUCUUCCUGCCUCUUACAGUGCUAAGCACAUUAUCGAAGCUUAGCAUCCAUAACUACGAAAAGCACAGCAAAGAAAAACCCCAGAGUUUACUUUGAUCCCAGUCCUGUUCUGACGUCAGGUAACUGGACUCAUGAAGUAGCUGUCAAGGCUAUUAGGAAAAAAAAAUGGCAAAAAUAUUUAGGGCCCACAUACAAGGAGACAAAGGAGAAAACUAAUGUUUCACUCAGAUUUAUUUCCCUGCAUGAUACCUCUCUAUAAACAUUCAUUCAUACUUGCAGUGGCUUUAGCUUGAUUAGAGCAGAGCCUCUCUGCAUGAGGAAGGUAGUGUAUGAUAAACUAGGCUAAAUAUUUCUAAA